rnacentral:rRNA from 1 species
GGGUUAAUAUUCCCGUACUUGGUGUUACUGCGAAGGGGGGACGGAGAAGGCUAUGUUGGCCGGGCGACGGUUGUCCCGGUUUAAGCGUGUAGGUGUGUGUUCCAGGUAAAUCCGGUUCACUUUAACACUGAGGCGUGACGACGAGGCACUACGGUGCUGAAGCAACAAAUGCCCUGCUUCCAGGAAAAGCCUCUAAGCAUCAGGUAACAUCAAAUCGUACCCCAAACCGACACAGGUGGUCAGGUAGAGAAUACCAAGGCGCUUGAGAGAACUCGGGUGAAGGAACUAGGCAAAAUGGUGCCGUAACUUCGGGAGAAGGCACGCUGACACGUAGGUGAAGUGAUUUACUCA